rnacentral:ncRNA from 2 species
CAGACUUUUCAUUACUUUGGUUCUGAUGCCACGGCAUCGGAUGAAAAGGGAACGCAGUGUAGAGCUGCGGCUGCCCCCGCAACUGUAAGCGGUGAGCGAAGUCCCGAUAUGCCACUGUCGCGACGGCGAUGGGAAGGUGGGGCCGAGCGUUGACCCGCAAGCCAGGAGACCUGCCAAAGCGAUCACCCAUUU